rnacentral:misc_RNA from 1 species
AUUGGAUAAUGCCAAGUGCACUAAUUUCUAGUAUAUUAUAUACUCACAAAUUUUCAGUUUAUCUCAAGAAUUAUGGGAUGUGGGUCUCAUUUCACUGUGAAAGAGAAUAUACUUAUAAAUUUUCAGUCAUUCCCAAUAAUUAUGGGACGUGGAUCACAUUUCACUGUGUGAGAGGGAGCAUGUGCUAUAGGAUCGCUUAAUAAAAGCUCUAGCUUCCUCACAUGAUAACAGAUAAUAAGCACUGCCUAUCAAUGACCAACUCUAACGUGCCAUUUUGGUGUAUAGAAACAUGGCUACUGCUUCCUAACUUUGCCAAUAACUUGCCUACCUGAGAAAACUAUGUGUUAAUGACCUUUCAAGCAUGCGUGGAGCCAUGAGAUCUUCCAUUUGUCUUUCCUGAAAUGGCUUUCAUUACCAUUCUUUGCAUACCUCAUCAUCAUAAACUUUAAUCUUUCUGAGUGCUCGAUGAGUGGUUAAUGUUGUCAAUUUGUGGACCAAUCAAACCACUUUUCCAUUAAAUCGUUCCUGCCAAAACAAUACGCCUGUAAGUAUAAAGAAUGAAAAAUCUACAACAUUUAAAAAUGAAUUUUCCAGUAAAAUAUGAGAAAAGCAGAGAAAAGAUACAAGAAUAGCAGGUGGUAAUCUGCUAUUACUGCAUGCUUGUGCACCAAGAAACAAAUGAGUGCAGAAAACUUAUUAAAAAUGACAAAAAGAUUAAAAAAUUUCUCUCCUUCAAUCAUGUAACUAACCGCUAACUAAAAUCUGUACCAAAUUAUUAAACACAAUUACCAACAAAUAUGAAAUUUUGUUUUAUUAAACCAAAAGGGUUCUUGAAUUGUGUCCCUGUCUUAAACAGACAUUUCCAGCAUAGAAUUUAAAUCUUGCCAAUACAAGUUCCUCCAAAAACCAGAUGAAUGUGACUUCAGCUUAGCUUUUUUUAUUACUUUUUCAACAGACAGGUUCCUAGCCAAGUCAAAUGAAAUCUAGGCCUGCUUCACAAUUUUCAAAGUCAUAUACCGAUUGUAGAGAAAGGCACUACAAGGAGUUCACUUUCGGUUGUGACAGAAGACCAUGAAGCCACAAUCGUCUACUUCAUAAAUUAGUUUAUGCACUAUCUUCUACUAAGCAUUAACUCUGAGCCACAUAAAUACUCACCAUUUAGUUUUACCUGUAUUAAUAACCUCCAUAAAGUACUCAGAAUUAAAAAAUACCCUGCAAUUCUUAUACUAUGUUUGGUACAGCGUAAUAAAAUGUAAUGUAAUCAAAUACUCUAUUAAUUUCAAAUAGAAUAUUUUAUUACAUUAGAUUGCAUUAUAACCUACUACUCGUAGCCUCAGAAUUUUCAGGAAAAAAAAAGAGAAUACAUAUAUCAUUUGCAUCAGAUAAUACAUCACAGUAAUGAUAAAACGAAUGAACAAUGAAGUCUUAACCUGAUGGGAUGACAAGGCCUUAUUGUUGCUUAGCCUGCUCCAUAAUGCGCACAAUAAUAGAAGCUUGAAAUGUUGGCUGUGAUAGCGACCUAUUUCAGAAAAUGAUCUAUCCAUACCUAAAUUAAACAGGAAGAUCAACCUUUUCAGGAAUCUGCAAAUAAGGGAAAUCAAUACCACCAACACUACUUAGUGGCCCAUAUCAUCAUUUGACAAAGUAACAACUCCAUUAUUAAAAAAAUUUAAUCCAUCUGUGCAUAUAUGACUACCUGUGUAUUUAUGUGUGUGGAUGACUGUAUAUGCACAUAUGAACAUGGUUGAAAGUAGCUGACAUGAAAUGUUUAUCAAUAAUAUCUAACAAAUAGUUACAGCUACACACAAGUAACAGUGCGUCUCUUACUAAAUCAGGCAAGGGAUUACUAUUUCUUAUCAUAGUGCAUCUCCAGAACUGCAAGCAUCAAAGUAGAUGAAAAUUAGAUUAUGAAAUCAUAAAAAGACAAAUGAAAACUGCAAUCUGAAUAAAAACAGGCUGAUCAUCGAAUAUAUAAAAUCAGCAAACAGUGAUAUUUGAGGUCAAAGGUUUUUAUUUGAUUUAGAUGUUAGGAUUCAUUUCAUCAGAGAAAUAACAUCUGCAAAUAGAGUUUACAAACUGAUGUUCCAAAUGAACCAGAAUAUCUGAUGACUAACUCCAAGUUUUGGGCCAAACAAGAUUAUAGCAGAAUUGCAAUGAUGCUAUGACAAAUAAAUCACUCUACAAAAUUGAAUUGUACAAACUUUGACAAGAAUGAUCAAGAAACCAAAAACCAAUUUCAAACUAAAAAUAAAAUAGAACUAAGACUAUAAAAUAAAAAUAACAUAAAAAAGGAAAAGCAUAAAGCAGAUCAUUUGUUCAAAAAGUCUAAAACAAACAAGUUUCAAGUUCUAUUACUAAAAGGGAUGACCAAGCCAAUGCCAGCCUGAUGAUCAUUGCGUUCAGAUUUAAGUACAUCAGAAACUUUGCAAGACAUUGCAAACGUCUUAAAUUGAAUAUUUUGAUAAUAAACAGAAUACAGCUUAUACUCUGAUCAACCAACAAAUCAAGGUGGACCAUCAGUUGGCAGACCGCAGACCAGAUCCAAAUCACAACAGUUUUGCUUAGAAACUUGCACUUCAUUCGUUGGAGAUUUUUAUUUUUUUUUCUGCAAGGAAAACUAAUUUACCAAAACAUAAAAAGUAAGAACGAGGUACACAAAAAAGUUCAAAAAUUCAUUCCAGGAAUGUGGAUUCAGACACAUGAAUAUAAUCCAAAUUCUAGAGUAAGAUAUAGCUACAACAUAUGCCAAAUUCCAUCUUAUGUCCCCACCUUUUCACACCCACACACAUGCACAAGUACAUUUUUAUUUUGUAGUUGACAGCAAUCAAUUGAAGCACGACCUGUCAUCCUGCAUUCCUGCUUCAUUUUUAUGGAACAUGACUCUCAUAAUAUCAUCUCUUUGAUAACCUUACCAAGCACGCAAUAGCUACACAUUAACUCAUAUUGAAGAUCUAAACUACAGACAUAUUUCUUUUCACCAUACCUUCAUUUGCAAGCUUGUACAUUAUGAUAGCAAGCCAAUAAAAAAUCUAAUAAUAAUAAAAAUACUCAAGCAUACAAUAAUUUUCAAACAUUACCCAACAAAAGGGGAAAAAAUUUACAUAAACUGAAAAGGCGAAAAACUACCAGGUAUACAGGUCUUAUACUCUUCUUAAAUCACAGAUCUACUGCUUUCCAGACAAAACAGAUUGCUAUCAGAAAACAA